UGACUAUAUCACAUUGAAACACCAAUUCCCAUACAAUCACCAAAGUUAAGCAAUGUCGAGCCUGGUUAGUACCUAGAUGGGCAACUGCUUGGGAAUACCAGGUGUUGUAAG